GAUGAACGCUGGCGGCGUGCUUAACACAUGCAAGUCGAACGGAGAUGUUGUGUGAGUGGAGAGUGCUUGCACUUAACAAUCUUUCAACAUCUUAGUGGCGGACGGGUGAGUAACGCGUGGGUAACCUGCCUCAUACAGGGGGAUAACACUUAGAAAUAGGUGCUAAUACCGCAUAAGCGCACGGAAUCGCAUGAUUUUGUGUGAAAAACUCCGGUGGUAUGAGAUGGACCCGCGUCUGAUUAGCUAGUUGGUGAGGUAACGGCCCACCAAGGCGACGAUCAGUAGCCGGCCUGAGAGGGCGGACGGCCACACUGGGACUGAGACACGGCCCAG
rnacentral:rRNA from 1 species